ACCGGACGAUCAUAAGAAACCUAUGAUCCGUCACUUAACAGCCACUUUUCCAAGUCACUCUCGAGGUGGAACUAUAAAAUGGCUUCUAUCUCAAGGGUCAGAAGUCACUCAACUCGUUCUUCGAUAAGUCUCUCUCAAGUGCCACUUGGCACUUGGACUAUAAAUACGGCCAUAAGUGGUGCCUUAAAAGUGCGAUUUUCUUCGAACAAAACAAAAUUUUCCGGAAAAAGUGCAGAUUGAAAACAGGGACCAAAACCGCUUGAUAGCAACCGAAGACGAACUGGAAACAGCGGCAAGAAGCAUCGGUGAGACAAUCCUACAAGCGUACGCUAGAAGUUCGGUGACUGUGGAGGUGCCGGUGGCUCGUGACGAGUUACCAGCAAACC